rnacentral:tRNA from 1 species
CGGGGUGGAGCAGCCUGGUAGCUCGUCGGGCUCAUAACCCGAAGGUCGUCGGUUCAAAUCCGGCCCCCGCAACCACU